AGGCAGACGGAGGGAGGCAGCAUCGUUUGGUCUUGCCACCCCAUUUUACUGCUUCACUCAACCUGGAGUGUUGGGACCUAUUCUCUCUCUGCGUUCUCUCCAACCAGGCUGGGUGGAGUAAGGGGUGUGGGUGGACAGGGGGUUCUGCCCUUUUCGGUGACUUUAAAAAAGGUACCACCGGUGUCUAUGGACUGUAUAGCGCUUAGGAGAGGGGGAUUUGAUUACUAAACCGUUUACUUCUUUUUCCCUUCGGUAAUUUGGAUUUGUUUCCUUGGCCCCCUCCCCCGCCUCCCUCUCUCCCCCUCCCGCCUUUAGCGAAGUGACACACUUGCUCGCUCCAGUUGGAUGUUGGAACUUACACCUUCUCGGAGGCGACGGUGCCAGGUACUGGGGAGAGGGGGAGAGAGGCGACUUCCCUUCCUUCCAGCCCAGGAUGCCUAGAGGGGCAGCGGUUGGGCUGCAUGGGGCUCUGCCCGCAGCACUUCUAGGAGGGAUUGAGGGGCUGCAGCUGGCCAGGCGUGGCUGCUAAUUGGACUCGCGCUAAGUCUCCGAGAGAGCAUCAGCUGGGACCUAUCUGCUAAAGGCGGGAGCACGGGCACCUGCACCGAGGAACCCGGGCGGCUUGCGGGCAGACGACGGCCGGCCGACUCAGAGCCUCUCCUCCUUCCUGCCCAGAACCUCCCCAGCAACUCCUCCUGGACCUGCGAGGGCCGGAGAACAGAAGUGCGUGGCAGAGGCUGCUUUCCUGAAGGUGAACCGUUCCGGCCAAUUGCCUUUUCCCAGAGAGCAAAAGGGAGGGCGGGAGAAGAAACGGAGUCCUGUGUGAGUGUGUGUGAGAGGGAGAGACGACGUGAGGCGAGAGGAAAAGUCUGUACUCGGCGUUAAAAGCAAACAAAUCAGAGAUGGAAUAAGGGCGGUAAUUGCUGCAAGACCGCCUUGAUUCUCGCAGUGGGGGGAGCUGAGCGCACCGCGCGUAUCCGGCGAGGACGGCGGGCGACCGCGGGCGCUGGCGAGGGCUGCGGGACUUUGGCUUGUCCUCGGGGAAACACAUUUUUUUUUUUUUUAUUACUUUGACACCGUGGCAUAGAAGGGAGGAAAAGAGGCGAGGCUCGCUCGCUCCACCUUCCAUCCGCUUUAAGGGGAUUCCGGUGUAAAUGUCAAGAGAUUCCUGAGUCUCUGUGCCAUCGGAGGAGGAAACACACACACACGCGCGCACACGCACGCUCCGGACCUCACUCACCAGCCCUCCACGAGCACACCCCACCGGACUCCGGUUCCCUAUGCCCCUGAACGGGGACGACGGAUUGGCAUCUUGGAAGCGAUGCAAGAGCGAUAAGGCUGGCGCGGGCCCGCGGAAGCUGCAGGAGCAUCGCUAGGUGUUGCCGCCACCAGGAAGCCGGGCUGCAGGAUGAGUAAGGGAUACUUACAGAAAGCAACAAAAGGAAAACUGCUAAUAAUAAUAUUUAUUGUAACCUUGUGGGGGAAAGUCAUAUCCAGCGCAAACCAUCAUAAAGCUCACCAUGUUAAAACGGGCACUUGCGAGGUGGUGGCACUCCACAGAUGCUGUAAUAAGAACAAGAUAGAAGAACGGUCACAAACUGUCAAGUGCUCCUGCUUCCCUGGGCAGGUGGCAGGCACCACGCGAGCUGCUCCAUCUUGCGUGGAUGCUUCCAUAGUGGAACAGAAAUGGUGGUGUCAUAUGCAGCCAUGUCUUGAGGGAGAGGAAUGUAAAGUUCUUCCUGAUCGGAAAGGCUGGAGCUGCUCCUCUGGGAAUAAAGUGAAAACAACUCGGGCAAACGUGUAAAACUCUUCAAGUUCGAAUGGAGGAGUAGAAAGAGAAGGUUUCUGCUGUGCCUGAUGACAAUUUUUAAUAGCCACACUCAAAAUAUUCUGGCUCCACCAUGGAGCACUAGUGUGGUGAAUCCGAAUGUUGGUCGGACUCUAAGGAAGGGACAGAAGUUUCGUUGAGGAGUAAAGAUUCAAAACAACUCCAGAAAUGAGCUCUCACCUUGGUUUAUUUCUCACAGAGCAGCAGGUAACCCAUUAACUAAGAAUAAAUCAAACGACCCUCGAGGCUGAUUACAUUGGACAUAUGCACAGAAACUUAACUUCUCUGGCGGUCUUGGAGGGAGAUUUUUAUACUGCUCUGAAGAGGCACUCCAGACUCUUGUUUCCAAGGGAUUUUAUGGCUCGUAAUCAGCAUCUUCUUGAAAUCAAGACUUUAAGAAAGUCAGACAUGAACUUCUGUGUCAUGAAGAGUUCAGAUUUGAACUGUGUUCAACUUGUAAAAUUGCACUUCCUAAAAGAAUUUGAAGUCGUCAUCUGAAGAGUUGGUGUUUCCGGGCGAUGUCAGAGACACUCGCAUUGUGGGCUCCUGGCUCCAAAUGUGACUGCUUUUCUUGUUCCUGAAAGUCUCCCAAAUGCACUGGCCCUCUGUCAUGGAUGUGUUCCUGGGUCUGGUCCUGUGUUCAGUGGCUAGUGGGACUGUAUAUGGCUUUAGUGACAUUUCCUUUGCAAACUUCUCUGGCAUGGUGUGGACUGAGAUCAUUUUAUUUGUAUCCUAAUCUUGGAGCUCUGAAAGCCUACAUGUUUUAACAUCUUAAAGUUGCUUUUGUUAAAGGAAUGGAAAAAUAUAUCCAUUGAUAAUAAUUAUUGUUGGCAAGUAAUACUUAUCUGAAUACAUCAAUCACCUAAGAAUGUAUAGACUAGCUGACAUGUUUCCCCAAGGCUAACACACUACUGCAGCUCUCUGUCAGUUAAAUAGGUAGGAGUUAGAACUGAAUUACCAUUUUCAUUGUAUACUAUUUUAUACCUCUAGAGCACUCUUCCUUUCUUUCUUUUUUUUAAGUGGGCUGUUUUCUUUCCUUUUCAUGUUUACUUUUUCCUUCACAGAAAUCAGCAGUGAGCAGUCAAGUAUUGAGUUAGGUAGCCUUCAGUUUCAAAAAUUGCCAGGGAUGCAUGUGGGUUUCUGAUUUCUUAGCUUGAAAGUUAUUCAUUUACAUUUAUUACAUUUUAAAACUGUUCUUUCUAUCUCAUUUUAGAAGACUGUCUCUUGCUUGAUCCCAAUGACUGUUUGAAUGCUGUUUGUCCAGUCUGUAGAUAAAAUAAAUUAUCAUUUUCUUUGGUCUCAAAUUUAUAAAUAUUUGCUUAUAGUUGUCCCAUUUGAACAAUUUCUUAGGUUAUUUUUUGCUCACAUUUUUGUAGUAAUUUUAACAUUUGUGGUUUUCAGUUCUAUAGGAAAAUCAUAUAAAUAUUUAAAGGCCUUAAACAUGUAUGUACCUUUUUCCCUAAGUUAUUACAGAAUGUAUACUUUUAUACUACAUUUAUUUUGUUUCAUUUAUGAUGUGAAGGGAGAGAAGAAUGGAAAUUGCAAAGCUAUUCUGUAAUAAUAUUGUGUAAACUUACAGUUUGAAGGAAUGUAAAUGGAGGGACUCCUGUGUUUUACUCAUCUUAGACUAAUAGGAAGGUACUUCAGAAAUUGUCCUAUUAGAAAUUCCAUUAUGUUAGAGAAGGUGUGGACAUCUUUUGUGUUUCUAAAACUCACUGACGUGGCCAGUUAGGUAUAUGUUGGUUUCCAUGAUGGAGGCUGAGCAGCCUGAAGACCUUCGGUCUGUUAGUAGGUAACAACUUUCAAAGACUGAUAGAAACGUUUCUGGGCAAAACAACUAAAAGUGGUAAAAUUUGUUAAAAGUUAAAUUUGUAAAGUAUACUUUUGACAUUGAACUAAAGUAUACUGCCCUAUAAGUCAAUGAAAUGACUUACUCCUUUUAUUUUAAUUAUACAUAAAACUAGAUGGCUCCACAUGGAUUUUGCAAUGGUUCAAUACUGUAUGAAUGUUAAGACAGGAAUAACAGUUGUGCUGGAGUUUCUGCAUCAAUUAUAUCAUUACUUUGUUUGUAACAAAGAAGAAAACCAUAUUACUUUGGAAAUUACAAAUUUGUCCUAGAUUGGUUUGAAAUUAUAGAUCAUGCCUCUCAUUUAUUAAACCAUGUUCUUUAAAACAACACUGAAAAUUCUGUACUAUAUAUGUGUAAUACAUGCAUAUCAAUAGAAAAAAAUAAAUGGAAUUUCAAAUAUACUAACUAGAUUAUCCCCAAUAGAAUACUGU